rnacentral:RNase_P_RNA from 1 species
AGAGUAGAUCAGAUGGUCGCAUUUGCUUUUUUAGCAAAUGAGGAAAGUCCGAACUCCAUAGGGCAAAGUGCUGGGUAACACCCAGUGGGGGCGACCCCAAGGAAUAGUCACAACAGAAAGCAGACCGCCAACGGAAGACAUUUUGUCUUCAUAGACAAGUUUGUCUUCGCGGGCAAGGGUGAAACGGUAGUGUAAGAGACUACCAGCAGUCUUGGUGACAAGGCUGGCUAGGUAAACCCCACUUGGAGCAAGGCUAAAUAGGAGGGAUAUAAGUUGCCCGCUUCUCCCUCGGGUAAGCUGCUUGAGGUAUGGAGUAAUCCAUACCCUAGAUGAAUGACCAUCACCCAAAAAGGGAACAGAAUUCGGCUUAUGAUCUACUCUAGCU